AAUUAAAAUGAUGACUGCAAACAUGCAGUGUGUCCGUCAGUACAGUCAGAGGUGUGAUCGUGGAUGUGUGGCAUGCACGAGGUGUGGGAAAUGUGUAAUUGAUGGUUGGGAUGAGUCCGUGAGGGAUGAGCGAGCCACAGCCAGAGCCACACCGGGGUCAGGAGCUCUGAGUCUGGCUAGCUGAUUCCUCUCUAGGAACGAGGGCGACAGAACAUUAGCAGAAGUCUAACUAUAAAAAGGCAGGGCAGCAACUGUCACAGAUUUUAAAGGUUUUAUUUUCACGUGCAAGAAUGCCAUGUUUCUUAUCCAGAAGAAGUUUCUUUUUUUAUUCUAGUAAAGGUCUUCAAACUGUCAAUCAAGCUUCAGCAAAAAACUCAAACUUGAUGACAGAUGAGUUUAUUUGGUUACAAAAUAGAAGCUGAAACCAAAUUUGCUAUUUUUGGAAACAAACUAAAGCUUUAUUAGAUUAAAUGGAAAUGUGCUCUCAAGUACAAUAACGACAACAAUGACAACAACAAUAUAAUACAAAAUGAUUGAAACUUUCCAAGUUGGUCAUUACUGCAGUCAAAGGUCCGUCACUUCCUGACUCACAGGGUCACCUCUCGUCCUGCAACUAUACUGUCAACCAAUCACAGUGUCUUGGUUAUGAUUAACAAUAAUGAGUCAGCACAUAAAGAGAGCCUCUCACACACACACACACACACACACACACACACACACACACACACACACACACACACACACACACACACACACAAACAUUAAGCCAAACAUAUUUUUUUCUUCCAUCCUGAUGAAAGAGGUUUCCCCUUUUGCCUAGAAUUCAGUCAGCUGACACAGCAGUCACAUGGUUUGUCACUAAACAAUGGCAGAACAGGUUCUUUGUGUGUUUAGGUGCUACAAUCACUGCCAAGGUCAAGAAGAGGAGAGAGAGAGAGAGCGAGAGAGAGAGAGAGAGAGAGAGAGACUGAAGGAGCUGUAAAACUACAGAACAUUAGCAGAGAUAGUCAUCUUUCAAAGCCACUUGUAACCACACUGCAGCCUUCUAUUAUCUGACCAGUAACCAUUCUUACGUCAACAUUGUUGACCGUCAUCUCUACCAACACUCACUCAGCUGGGACAGCUGUGCAACCAGCUUGUAGAUGAAAUAAGAGCGUAGAAUAGAAAAUGAUCAAAUCUGAGAGACGAAUGGAAAAGAGGGGAAAAAAUGAGCCAAACAAGUUCUGCAUUAAAAAUGUUUGUCAGUAUAAUCAGGAAAAUAUAUUUAAGUCGUUUUUUUUUUUGUACAGUACUGGCACUAAUUAUUUUCAUUAUUGAUGUAUCUACAGAUUCAUUUUUCAAUAAAAGGACUGAUCGCUUGGCAUGAAACAAACGUCCACUGGAAUUAUAAAAAACGCAAAGUGACACCUUCACAAUGUUAGUUUGUUUCUACCGAGUCCAAAAACCUCAAGAUCAUUAAAAAUGUAUUAAAAUUGUUAAAAGUUAUUAAAUAGAAAAGCAGCAAAUCAUCACAUUUUUGAAAUCUGUGACGUGCUUCAUACUGAUCAUAGAGUAAUGACCACCAAGGUGUGGAUCAUAUGUAAGGACAUUUUAUCUUGAGGCAAAAUUAAACCUACAAUUGACAUCAUCACCCGUUUGCCAGAAGGACAAAUUGUUGUUUAGCACACAAACACACACACACACACACACACACACACACACACACACACACACCAGGAAAAUUGAGAAGGGAAAGUAAAACAGGCAGAAAAGAAGCUGAAUGAAAAGUGAAAUUCAACAUCAGACAUGUCCAGCUGACGCCCCCUUAAAUACAGGUCGCUACACACACAAUAGAUUAACUGCUGAACAGUUUCACUCACACCACACCUUGAAUGAGAUGAGGAAAAACAUCCUGAGAAACGGAAAAAGACCAGUGUGAUCAACUUCUUCACUGUGGACUCUCGCUACUGCCCAGCAAAAUGAGUCUGCACCAGCUGUGGAGGUAUUUUGGCUUCAGUUUUGUACGAUUGAAGGAGAUAGAGAUGCACUGUCCAGAUUUUUGUAAGCCUAUGAUCUAUCAAGGUAUCCAGCUGACCAAUGGUUUUUAGAUUUCAUUACUGUCUAUGUAUUUUCUGUUACAAGAUCGAAGGGCCUUGCACACAGGUAUUACACACGUCUGCCCCCAUCGUGUUUCAACUACUACUACUACAACUACACAUGCGCAAACAUUUCUUACAGAUACAGGCAGGAAAAUAUAAUUUACAUUGAUGUAGUAUAUCGAGGACAAAUCGAGACGCAUUAGCGGUCAUGCCACAGUGUGGACAAAAGCAUCUCAGUUACUGAAGACCACUUAUGACCACAGAAUAAGAGGAAGGGGGAGUGUUAUCGGGAGCAGUGUGUUAGUAUGGUUGUUUUUUGGUCAGUUUUGUGAAUGGGUUCACAGAGUCAGUCUCGGUCCAUGGAACAUUCCAUUCUCACAGGGCACAGGGGGGCAGAGUAUGGGUGGGUUUGUGUGUGUGUGUGUGUGUGUGUGUGUGUGUGUGUGUGUGUGUGUGUGUGUGUGUGUGUGUGUGUGUGUGUGUGUGUGUGUGUUUUGGGUCGGAUAUUAUCAUGAGAUGCAGUUCAGUGUCUUUCCCUGUUUCACUUCCAAACACAAACAGAUACUGGAAAACAACACUUGCAAUUGGUCGCAUUACCUGCCAGAAUAGAAUCAACCACUGCAUGCACAGCCAACAACACACACACACACACACACACACACACACACACACACACACACACACACACACACACACACACACACACACAUACACACACACAUACACACAAAGACACUCACACACCUUCCCUCUUGGUCUGCUGUCCAGACAACAAGCCCAUUGUGUGUAGCAACAGGUAUGCAUAGAAGAGCCUGUU